GCGAGCGUGGCGGAACUGGUAGACGCGCUGGACUUAGGAUCCAGUGGGUAACUCCGUCCGGGUUCGAGUCCCGGCGCUCGCA
rnacentral:tRNA from 2 species